rnacentral:rRNA from 1 species
CCGGCACGGGUGAGUAACACGUAUCCAACCUGCCGUCUACUCUUGGCCAGCCUUCUGAAAGGAAGAUUAAUCCAGGAUGGCAUCAUGAGUUCACAUGUCCGCAUGAUUAAAGGUAUUUUCCGGUAGACGAUGGGGACGCGUUCCAUUAGAUAGUAGGCGGGGUAACGGCCCACCUAGUCAACGAUGGAUAGGGGUUCUGAGAGGAAGGUCCCCCACAUUGGAACUGAGACACGGUCCAA